GGGGGUGGGUGGGGGGAGAGGUCACUUCCGAUUUGGUGCCGACACUUUGGUGUCAUUGGAGACUUUCCUUUUCCAGAGCUUCAUUCCACAGAGAUAGAGUGAGAGAGACAAUGUUUAGGAUUGAGGGGGAGAGUUAUUGAGAAAGUUAACCCAAAAGCGAGAGUGUGAAUGUUAAAGAGUGAGUGUAUGUGAGAGAGAGAGAGGAACCUGAGCUCUGGUGUGAGGUUCCCAAUGUUAAUCCAAGUCUCUGCCAACAAUGUCCUUUCUCACUGUCUCUCUGAUCUCCAUCCUCUGGCCCUGUCUGUCACUGGGAGCUUUGGUGACUCAGUGGCCGCGGACAGUCACAGCCAGAGAGGGGGAGACAGUGACUUUGAAUUGUCACCAGGACGACAGCUCUCUUACUGUGAUGCUCUGGUACAUCCAACCCCAUCAGGGAGGCCUCACAUUGAUCGGAUAUAACCAAUAUUCAACCACAUAUGAGGACAAGUUUAAAUCCGGCUACAACAUUACCAAGACACCGGACAGAAUGAACUCCACCCUGGAGAUCUCCAGCGUGAACCCAACCCAGGAGGGGGUGUAUUACUGCGCUGCGAGAGAAGGGCACAGCGUGAGAGAGAGACAGAUCUCUCGUACAUAAACCUCACACAGGAUACA